UGUCAAUCGGGAGAGGGGGGCAUGGAAUGGUGUCGACCUCGCCGGCAAUACCCUUGUACGGGAGGCAUACCGCAAGCUCAGAAGAACCAGGUGGGUUCCGGAGGUCGAGGGAGAUGUUGAAGAGUUCCGACCUGGACAACGAGGCAUCAAUCGCAGGGAUGUCCUCGGCGAACACAACCGGGACGCUUGAAAGUAUCACCCAUUGCGGCGAUGAAGGAGGCUGGGCGGGAGGAGGAGGAGAAGGCACCGCCGCCGCCGGCGCUGCUUCAGGCAUCAGCCGAAGGUGAGUGAGGUGCGCGGUGGCCGGCUACAAAGCACCGAUACUUCAGAAACUUGUGUAUCGCCGUUCAGUACUUCGCCGAUACUUCGAUACUUCAGAUACGCCUUCGAUACUCGUAUUUCUGAAGUAUCGUCAUUUUUAAUUUAAAACAAAUGGCGAUACGCGUAUCCUCAAAGUAUCGCCGUUGUGUAUUGCCCAUGCCUUGAUAUAUCGUUGAUCUGUUCAUAUAGGUAGUGCACGUGGACUGUACUAAUGUAGUAGUUGGAUAAAAGUGCUUGUUAAGGA